GUCUAGCUGACAAGUCCCGGAUAGGACGAAAUACGCAUCUUGGAU
rnacentral:hammerhead_ribozyme from 1 species